rnacentral:snoRNA from 1 species
CUUGCCUCUGAAUAAUUACAGAAUUUUUCACUACCACUGAGGCAUAUUCUUAUUCUUCAGGUCUCAG